rnacentral:tRNA from 1 species
UCUCUGGUGGUCUAGUGGUUAGGACUUGGUCCUUUCACUUCUGGGGCCCAGGUUUGAUCCCUGGUUGGAGAA